rnacentral:tRNA from 1 species
GGGAGGGUGGCAGAGCGGUCAAAUGCAACGGACUGUAACUCCGUCGGGGAAACCCUACACAGGUUCGAAUCCUGUCCCUCCCACCA